UACGAAGGGGGCUAGCGUUGCUCGGAAUUACUGGGCGUAAAGCGCACGUAGGCGGUCUUUUAAGUCGGGGGUGAAAUCCUGGAGCUCAACUCCAGAACUGCCUUCGAUACUGGAAGACUUGAGUCCGGGAGAGGUGAGUGGAACUGCGAGUGUAGAGGUGAAAUUCGUAGAUAUUCGCAAGAACACCAGUGGCGAAGGCGGCUCACUGGUCCAUAACUGACGCUGAGGCACGAAAGCGUGGGGAGCAAACAGG
rnacentral:rRNA from 1 species